UCCCAUUUCUUCUUUCGCCCAUUUCAAAUGCAGCCCGUGAUCCCAGAGCCUCGCAGCCGUCUCCCCCUUUGGGAUUCAAGACCCCCCCUCCUUUGCAUCUGCAGCUCCUCCGCCUUAGCCCGCGCCUCCUCCUCCAGCAUCACGCAUCCGUGAAUGGCUCCUCCAGUGAUCCCAAGCGGCAAUCUCCCAGCCAAGAGUGC
rnacentral:lncRNA from 1 species